rnacentral:rRNA from 1 species
AGCGAACGCUGGCGGCAGGCCUAACACAUGCAAGUCGAACGGACCUUUCGGGGUUAGUGGCGGACGGGUGAGUAACACGUGGGAACGUGCCUUUAGGUUCGGAAUAGCUCCUGGAAACGGGUGGUAAUGCCGAAUGUGCCCUUAGGGGGAAAGAUUUAUCGCCUUUAGAGCGGCCCGCGUCUGAUUAGCUAGUUGGAGGUAAUGGCUCACCAAGGCUACGAUCAGUAGCUGGUCUGAGAGGAUGACCAGCCACAUUGGGACUGAGACACGGCCCAAACUCCUACGGGAGGCAGCAGUGGGGAAUCUUGCGCAAUGGGCGAAAGCCUGACGCAGCCAUGCCGCGUGGAUGAUGAAGGUCUUAGGAUUGUAAAAUCCUUUCACCGGUGAAGAUAAUGACUGUAGCCGGAGAAGAAGCCCCGGCUAACUUCGUGCCAGCCGCCGCAGUAA